rnacentral:rRNA from 1 species
UACGGAAGGCAGCAGUGGGGAAUAUUGCACAAUGGGCGAAAGCCUGAUGCAGCUAUGCUGCGUGUAUGAAGAAGGCCUUAGGGUUGUAAAGUACUUUCAUCGGGGAGGAAAAACAAAACUAAUAAUUUUAUUUCUUGACGUUACCCGAAAAAGAAGCACCGGCUAACUCCGUGCCAGCAGCCGCGGUAAUACGGAGGGUGCUAGCGUUAAUCAGAAUUACUGGGCGUAAAGAGCACGUAGGUGGUUUUUUUAAGUCAGAUGUGAAAUCCCUGGGCUUAACCUGGAACUGCAUUUUGAAACUGAAAUACUAGAGUAUCGUAGAGGGAGGUAGAAUUCUAGGUGUAGCGGUGAAAUGCGUAGAUAUCUGGAGGAAUACCUGUGGCGAAAGCGGCCUCCUAAACGAAUACUGACACUGAGGUGCGAAAGCGUGGGGAGCAAACGAGGGAUUAGAUACCCGU